rnacentral:hammerhead_ribozyme from 1 species
GCACUGCUGAAGAGUCCCAUAAUAGGACGAAACGGCUUUCCAGUGC